rnacentral:rRNA from 1 species
AGGAUAAACGCUGGCGGCGUGCCUAAUCAAUGCGAGUCGUGCGGACCUUCGGGUCAGCGGCGUCCGGGUGAGUAACGCGUAGCUAACCUGCCUACCAGUGGGGGAUACCCGUCAGAAAUGGCGGCUAAUACCGCAUAGAGUGACGAGACGAGAGUUUCGGCAUGAAAGCCGCAAGGCGCUGGGAGAUGGGGCUGCGUCUGAUUAGCUAGUUGGUGGGGUAAAGGCCUACCAAGGCGAUGAUCAGUAGC